UUUAAUAAAUUGAAAAAGUUUAACGAGAUUUAAAUUUAAACUUAUUAACUGUCAGUCUAUUUGAUGUCAAUAACGGUAAAUGUCAGGUUUAAACAAGCUGUCCAAAAAAUUUAAAUGUCAACUUUAUACGACGUUGUGUAUUAAAAGUUUUAAUGUCAAUCGAGUCUAACGGUUUUAUUAUGUAUGGAAAACAAGGUAAUAGUUUAAAUAAAUUUAAAUGAAUAUUAGUUCUUUAUGGAUCUGAAAGGGUUGCUUUAACUGGCCGUGAGGCUUUUCAAAUUUUAAAAGUUGUUGUUAUUAAUCGUAUGAUAUUGAGAAUUAAUUAUGAAAAUUAAAUUAUUAAUUGUGGGUGUAGGCAAUCAAAUUUAAAUGGAUAAAUUAUAACGAAGGUUUUUAAUAGCCCUUGAGCAAAAACGAGUCUUAUUUAAUGAGAAUAUUUAAAUAGAAUUUUAAUUUAAUCGGUUGCAGCUGCCAAGAAUUUAAAUUAUAACUGUCAACCAAUUAAAGAUGUCAAAGUGACGUGAGGUGUCUGAUAAUAUUGUGCUGUCAAUUUGAUUCUGUGUCAACGUUCCCGGCAGGCAAAUGACAUUUCAUACUACGGCGAGGGGUGUUGAAACGCAUGGAAGAGCAGGAAGAAACACGGACGAGCGCUGAUGAACUGCAACUGUGUGCGUGCAACAGCACCAAACGGCAUGUGACGACGGACAGUGUGUGGAUGUGUGUGUGUGUAAUUUUAGGCAGCGAAGAUGGAUCGAGGUUAUGUUUACAAAGUGAAAGAGUUAGAUGCAGAAGCGUCUUUGUGAUAAACAUGAAUUUUAGUUGCAUAAUUUUAGUGUUAAAGUUUGUAAUGAGAACUUAAAAGUAAUGACUAAUGGUGCUAUUCACUUGUUGGCGAAUAUUGAAGCGUUGAAAUAUUGAAGCUUCCUAUGUUAGUUUGUUGUGCUUAGUGUGAAGCUCCUGCUGCAGCCUGGUGUUCAUCGUCGGUGAUCAUCAUUAUUGGUGACGAAGGCAGCACAGGUUCGUACACCGGAAACGUUCUGAUCACUUUUCCUGGUUAUAUUUUUAGGCAAAUUUAUCACAACAGGACCAGUUGCUCGUUCAGUCGUUAUGUACGAUGUACCGGCGCUUGUCGAUGGCACUUGGUUACCACCAUCAACUAUCUUGCCUGGCGGACGGAUCUGGCUAGGAACACAGAUUCUCUAGCAGCCGCUAUCACCGAUGCAGAAGCACUGGUGUGUAAUUGUUGUCUUACAACAGCGGACAUCAUACCACGCUGAUUCUUCGGAGCAUGAACUUCGACAAGCGAUGCAAUCGAUGGUACUGCAGAUCCCGCCAAUGUCUGUUGUCUACCGAUCUUCAUGCCUGAUUCCUGCGGUAGAGCAUCAGCAACCGGUACCACUGAUGGCGCAGCAGUACUAGUUGACGGUUGCUGUCCAUGUUGCUGGCCUAACGGACGGAAUGGUGCAGGAACACCAGAUGUUCAACAACACGGACUGGCAUUCUUUGUUGACUCGCGCUGACCGGCCACUGAAACCACCGAAGGCACUGCACUUGUUGUCGGAAGUUGUCCAACAACACGGACCGGCAAUCUGGGAGGACGGAUAGCACGAGGAAUGGCAACCGGAACCACCGAUGGCACUGCACUUGUCGUCGGAAGUUGUUCAACAACACGGCCUGGCGACGAAUAUCAGAUCGCAACUGCUAAUAAUUUCGUCGUCUGAGGCGGACUGUUAUGGAGGUACAAAAUCUUCAGUGAUGAUGAAUGCGUUCACGCUUCUACGAGCCGGUAAUUGGCGGUAUCCAGAUCAUCGUCGUACUGUUAGCUUACCUAAGCUACCGAAAUUAGCGACAGUGUAAAAUCUGUGCUGUGAGAAUUACAGCUGGCUCUCACAACCGUCCGGAAGUCGCAGUGAUUUGGUAACAUCAAGAUCAUCACCAUCGCACGAAGCGCAGCAUAUUGACGCAAGCCCAAGCGGACAGCAACCACCUGCAGCAAACGUACGCUGAACGAAUGGUCGUGGUAGAUGCGUUAGGAUUGCAAGGUGAUACUUGCGCUCUGAAAAUGCUAGCACAGAUGUUUGGGCCACAGAGGUGACGUUCCGAGAUUGUAAAACAUGCCGGGCCCACAGUUUCAGAUAAACCGUUCUCAUCAAUACCAUACCAUGUACGGUCGGCUAGUUACACUUCAUCACGAAGGACAAUCACAUCUGGGUGACGGAAUGCUGCCAAAACGAUGAAGCUGGCUGAGUCCUCGAUGACGACGCAACUCCUGCACGUUCGUCGUCAUACUAUCUUUUCAACUGGAGGCAUGUUUGUUUAGGCGGCUACAACAAAUUGUUUGAACAUGUUCAAUGAAACAAACAUGUUGUUUUGGCUUCUCACAAUUACUGGUGAAUGCUGGAAAUCUCCGUGAUAGCCGUUUUCGUGUGCUGAAUUAGGUUUGUAUGAAAAAUAGUGUAUUUUUAGAAUAUUUAAUUAUCAAUAAAAUAACGGUCGAUUUGAAAA